CACCCUACGGGGGGCAGCAGUGGGGGAUAUUGCACAAUGGGGGAAACCCUGAUGCAGCGACGCCGCGUGGGCGAAGUAGUAUUUCGGUAUGUAAAGCCCUAUCAGCAGGGAAGAAGAAAUGACGGUACCUGACUAAGAAGCCCCGGCUAACUACGUGCCAGCAGCCGCGGUAAUACGUAGGGGGCAAGCGUUAUCCGGAUUUACUGGGUGUAAAGGGAGCGUAGACGGCAGAGCAAGUCUGAAGUGAAAGCCCGCGGCCCAACUGCGGGACUGCUUUGGAAACUGCCCGGCUAGAGGGCUGGAGG
rnacentral:rRNA from 1 species